rnacentral:piRNA from 1 species
AGGGCGCCCAGAAGUUUUCAUCUCAU